UAUAAAAUUAUUUUCGGAUUCUAUGUUAUUUUUCCUACUAACUCAUUAUCAAUUGACUAAAAUGCAUCGUCAUAGUAAUUGUAACAAAUAAUAUUUUGCCAUGUCUCUUAAAGAGGACAUGGGGUCUGAAAAGGUUAAUUUCAAAUUCAUUAAGUUAAUUUAUUAUUUUUAUCAUACUUUUAGAAUGUACAAGUAAGAUAACUUAACAAUAAACUUUUAAAGAUUAUAGUUGAAUGUAUCAUUCAUUAAAAUUUCAUAUAAUAAUCAAAUAUAUUAUACAACUAUUGCAUUAUUGUUAACAUUAAAUUUAUCAAAUUAUGUAUUUUAAACAGAGCAAAUUCUUCAAAAGUAUGAUAAGUUGGACCGAUACAAAAAUGUUAAAAUAACAUAUAAUGAUCUCAAAUGGAAUGAAAAUUCGAGCAUGUCAUCAGAGGAAGAAAUAGGUAUGUAAUUUGUGAGGUCCAUUCGUUCCAUCUUAGAUUUUUAUGUAUACAUUACAUAUUUGAUACUGGAAAAUUUUAGAACGGCUAGAAAUAAUUUAUGCUUUCGAGAGAGGACGAAACAACGAAAGCACCACUCGAAAAUCUUCGAGUUGACAAUUAUAAAUAUUAUUAUAAGGGAUACCGGUCGUCAAUCACACAUACAUGCCUGAAUGUAAUAGGAGAUAAAACCCCUUUGUCACACAAUAACGCUUCAAAGAAAUAGGACUUGGAAAUAUCAAGCUAAACAGAAAUGGACAAAUUGUAUUAUAUGGGCGAGGGUCUUGUGGUCGAUUCGGUAUGAUUUGAUUAACAUAAGGUACAAACAACAAUUAUAUUUGAAAUUAACGUAUGUGAAUCUGCGCACCUCGAAGACCUACAUGACUUAUUAUGUCAAGACAUAAGAAAUAUAUUCUUAUUUCAAAACACCAACAACAUUUUGCAAAUAAUUUUCAAACAUUUGGAAAUUGGUUUUCAGAAUUUGCAAAUUAUUUCUCUGCCCGCUAUAAACAAAAUAAGACAGGCCAACUUCAUGGAGCCCCCACUUUUGAGCUACAAAUUUCAAAAUGCCACUAACAUUUUACAAAUAAAUCUGAAAACCAAUUUGCAAAUGUUUGCAAAUUAUUUGAAAAUAAGUAUAUGACUUUUAAAAAAAUCGACCAUGGUUGGGGGCCAAAUUCACGCACAUAGAAAAACAUAAUGAUAUAAUUAAUAUUAUUAUAAUAAAGAUUAUAAAUAUUUCGUAUUUCUGCGUAUACCAGUUUAUGUUUAUCUAUAUUUACUAUUAUAUAUAUAUAUAUAUAUACGUUUACAAUACAUAUAAUAUUAUUCCAUUGUUUACCCCUUGGAAUUACCCAUAAACAUACACGGGUCUAUUUCGUAUAAGACCCUCAAACU